rnacentral:rRNA from 1 species
AUGGCACUGCUCCUUCAACUUUUGAAGAAUGCGCUGAGACAUCAGCUAGAUCCGCAGGUCUUGCUCCCCAAAAUCCAUCCCUUCUCUUCUUUGGUCCAAUCUGGACUGUUAAUUCCGUCAAGAGAUUUUGACAGGUUUGGGUCCAUCUAUAACAUGCUUGACCGGGCGAUCACGUGGCUACCGAGCACUCUUAUUUUCUGGUCAUAA